rnacentral:rRNA from 1 species
AUUGAACGCUGGCGGCAUGCCUAACACAUGCAAGUCGAACGGAUGAGGGGUGCUUGCUCCUUACUUCAGCGGCGAACGGGUGAGUAAUACGUAGGAGACUUCCUGUGCAUUUCGGGUUACGUCCGGGAAACUGCGCUAAAUCCUCGUACGGCCUCAUUUAUAGAGUGAUGGAUGUUCAGACUUCUCGGUGUCGGAUGAGCCUGCGGCGUAUCAGCUUGUUGGUGGGGUAAUGGCCUACCAAGGCGACGAUCCGUAGCCGGCCUGAGAGGGUGGACAGCCACAUUGAGACUGAGGUGCGGCCCAGACUCCUACGGGAGGCAGCAGUGGGGAAUAUUGCACAAUGGGCGCAAGCCUGGUGCAGCGACGCCGCGUAUGGUAUAACAGCCUUCGGGUUGUAGACGCCUAGCGCGAUGGACGAAGCUUGUUGUGACGGUACCUAGAUAAGAAGCACCGGCUAACUACGUG